GCAUUGUGUCAAUAAUAAGUGUUGCUGUGAAGAGAACAAUAGUCAGACUGAAUGUUGAACAUCAGCUAGUUUCUCCUGCUGAUUUAAACCUUGUUGGACAGAUGGAACAUUGGCUGUGGAUUAUUCUAGCUGCUCUUUUCUUUGAGUGUAAAGGAGACUCAGUGACGCAGACAGAAGGACAUGUUGCUGCUGCUCAAGGAGAAUCUGUGACUCUGGGAUGUGAAUACCAGACCAGCUCUUUAUCACCUACCUUGUUCUGGUACAAAGUGGAAGACAAUGGUUAUCCAAAGUACAUGCUAAAGGGAUUCCCAACAGGAGGAGAAAAUUCUCCACAUUUCAAUGACAGAUUCAAUGCUGUCCUCAACAGUAAAAAUAAAUCCUUUAAUCUGACGAUCCAGGAUCUCCGUCUGUCAGACUCUGCUGUGUACUACUGUGCUCUGCAGCCCACAGUGACAGGAAACACCAGAACUCUGCACAAGAACCUGAAAUAUUCCACUAUAUCCACAAGAGGAAAUUGUGUAACCUAUGACAUAUACAGAAGUACAUUUUUACUGUCUUAA